GGUUGAAGGUUGGGUAACACUAACUGGAGGACCGAACCGACUAAUGUUGAAAAAUUAGCGGAUGACUUGUGGCUGGGGGUGAAAGGCCAAUCAAACCGGGAGAUAGCUGGUUCUCCCCGAAAGCUAUUUAGGUAGCGCCUCGUGAACUCAUCUUCGGGGGUAGAGCACUGUUUCGGCUAGGGGGUCAUCCCGACUUACCAACCCGAUGCAAACUACGAAUACCGAAGAAUGUUAUCACGGGAGACACACGGCGGGUGCUAACGUCCGUCGUGAAGAGGGAAACAACCCAGACCGCCAGCUAAGGUCCCAAAGUCAUGGUUAAGUGGGAAACGAUGUGGGAAGGCCCAGACAGCCAGGAUGUUGGCUUAGAAGCAGCCAUCAUUUAAAGAAAGCGUAAUAGCUCACUGGUCGAGUCGGCCUGCGCGGAAGAUGUAACGGGGCUAAACCAUGCACCGAAGCUGCGGCAGCGACACUAUGUGUUGUUGGGUAGGGGAGCGUUCUGUAAGCCGUUGAAGGUGGCCUGUGAGGGUUGCUGGAGGUAUCAGAAGUGCGAAUGCUGACAUAAGUAACGAUAAUGCGGGUGAAAAACCCGCACGCCGGAAGACCAAGGGUUCCUGUCCAACGUUAAUCGGGGCAGGGUGAGUCGACCCCUAAGGCGAGGCCGAAAGGCGUAGUCGAUGGGAAACAGGUUAAUAUUCCUGUACUUGGUGUUACUGCGAAGGGGGGACGGAGAAGGCUAUGUUGGCCGGGCGACGGUUGUCCCGGUUUAAGCAUGUAGGCGGAUG
rnacentral:rRNA from 1 species